UCCAACCAGGCCUGAACCCUCUGCAUGAA
rnacentral:piRNA from 1 species